rnacentral:rRNA from 1 species
UAGAUACCCGGUUAGUCCCAGCCGUAAACGAUGUGGACUAGGUGUGCUGUUACCCAAGUGGUACCAGCGUGCCGAAGGGAAGCCAUUAAGUCCACUGCCAGGGAAGUACGCCCGCAAGGGUGAAACUUAAUGGAAUUGGCGGGGGCGCACUACAAGGGGUGGAUGCUGCGGUUUAAUUGGAUAAAACCCCAGAUAAUCUUACCAGGGCCGACAGCAGAAUGAUGGACAGUCUGAAGGGCUUUCCUGACGCGCUGAGAGGUGUUGUAUGGUCAUCGUCAGCUCGUACUAUGAAGCGUCCUGUUAACUCAGGCAACGGGCGAGACCCAUGUCCCUAGUUGCUACUUUCACUUUUGUGGGGGGCACUCUAGGGAGACUGCAGUAGCAAUACUGAGGAAGGAGUGGGCAACGGUAGAUCUGUAUGGCCCGAAUGCCCUGGGCAACACGCGGCAUACAAUGGCUGAGCCAAUGGGUUCCGACUCCGAGAGGAGAAGGUAAUCUCCUAAACUUAGCCUCAGUUCGGAUCGAGGGUUGUAACCUACCCUCGUGAAUGCCUGGAAUCCCCAGUAA